GCUCCUGUAGUGUAGUCCGGCCAAUCAUUUUGGCCUCUCGAGGCCAAUAGGCCGUGGAUAGCCAAUGACCCGGGUUCAAAUCCCGGCGGGAGCA
rnacentral:tRNA from 1 species